rnacentral:rRNA from 1 species
AAUAGAUACCCCGGUAGUCCACGCCGUAAACGAUGGAUGCUAGCUAUUGGGGGGAAUCGACCCCCUCCGAAGCGAAGCCGCGCGUUAAGCAUCCCGCCUGAGUAGUACGAGCGCAAGCUUAAAACUCAAAGGAAUUGACGGGGACCCGCACAAGCGGUGGAGCGUGUGGUUUAAUUCGAUGGUAAACGAAGAACCUUACCAAGGUUUGACAUCCCGGUAGCCGUUCUCCGAAAGGAGAAUUUCAUUUAGUUGGACCGGUGACAGGUGAUGCAUGGCCGUCGUCAGCUCGUGUCGUGAGAUGUUGGGUUAAGUCCCGCAACGAGCGCAACCCUUAUGAUUUAGUUGGAUUUUUCUAAACAGACUGCCCUGGUAACAGGGAGGAAGGAGGGGAUGAUGUCAGGUCAGUAUUUCCCUUACACCUUGGGCGACACACGCGCUACAAUGGCCGGUACAAUGGGCAGCUAAGCCGCGAGGUGGAGCAAAUCCCAUCAAAGCCGGUCCCAGUUCGGAUUGCAGGCUGAAACCCGCCUGCAUGAAGCCGGAAUCGCUAGUAACCG